rnacentral:rRNA from 1 species
UUAAUCCAAAUUAAUAGAUCACGGCGUAAAGAGUGUUUAUGAUAAUCUAAAAAUAAAGUCAAAUAAAGCCCAAGCUGUAAAAUGCUACCGGCCCACUAAGAACAAUAACGAAAGUAACUUUAUUAUAUCAGACUACACGAUAAUUAAGACCCAAACUGGGAUUAGAUACCCCACUAUGCUUAAUUGUAAACAUAAGUAGUUCAACAACAAAAUUACUCGCCAGAGUACUACGUGCCACAGCCCAAAACUCAAAGGACUUGGCGGUGCUUUAUAUCCAUCUAGAGGAGCCUGUUCUGUAAUCGAUAAACCCCGAUACACCUCACCACCCCUUGCUAAUACAGCCUANNNNNNNNNNNNUUCAGCAAACCCUAAAAAGGACGCCAAGUAAGCCCAAUCAUAUAUCAUAAAAAAGUUAGGUCAAGGUGUAGCCUAUGGGAUGGGAAGUA